rnacentral:lncRNA from 1 species
GAGGAUCGUUGUCCAAGACUGUUCCCGUUCAACUUUUGUUGAUUCUUUGACUCGGGAAACAUCGUUUCCUUUUGGUGUUUCACCCUUAUCUCUAAGACUCUUUAUGAGCGAUGUUGUUGAUUUGAACUUACCAUCGUACACGAUCUCCUUGUUGGUCGUUAUUUUGGUUGUUUUGGCUCUUUGUAGCCUCGUUGUAUCCUCCGUUGGUGGAGGCUAACUUCUAUCUCUAAUGAAAUUUUAAGUUUGUAAAAAAAAAGUCAUCUAGUUAUUAAACGCAAUGUUUCCGAGUUCUUAUCCCAUUUGGGACCCAAUUUCAACAAGUCUUUCUCCAUACUUGAAAACACUCUUCAUGCAUCUUUAGCACUUGUAAUCAAUCAAAUUUAUUGUAUUCUAAUAUAUUCUAAACCCAAAAAACACUAUAUAAUUAAUUUAGUGGUUCAGCGCAAUGUUUCCGAGUUCUUAGCCCAUUU